rnacentral:rRNA from 1 species
CUGGCGGCAGGCCUAACACAUGCAAGUCGACGGUAACAGGAAGCAGCUUGCUGCUUGCUGACGAGUGGCGGACGGGUGAGUAAUGUCUGGGAAGCUGCCUGAUGGAGGGGGAUAACUACUGGAAACGGUAGCUAAUACCGCAUAACGUCGCAAGACCAAAGAGGGGGACCUUCGGGCCUCUUGCCAUCAGAUGUGCCCAGAUGGGAUUAGCUUGUUGGUGGGGUAACGGCUCACCAAGGCGACGAUCCCUAGCUGGUCUGAGAGGAUGACCAGCCACACUGGAACUGAGACACGGUCCAGACUCCUACGGGAGGCAGCAGUGGGGAAUAUUGCACAAUGGGCGCAAGCCUGAUGCAGCCAUGCCGCCGUGUAUGAAGAAGGCCUUCGGGUUGUAAAGUACUUUCAGCGGGGAGGAAGGUGUUGUGGUUAAUAACCACAGCAAUUGACGUUACCCGCAGAAGAAGCACCGGCUAACUCCGUGCCAGCCGCCGC